rnacentral:lncRNA from 1 species
GAAAGACCAGUAACGAUGCCUAUGCCAACACCUCCACAGGCACAAACUCAGAACAUUUGAGGAAAAAGAAAAGAGGACAACAGUAACAAUUGUCAAGCGAAAAAAAAAAAAAACAACCAUGGCAGGGGCAAUCAUCCCAGCAACAAGGCUACAAAAGCCAAAAGGGUACUCCUAGACAGAUAGGAGAUAACCAACAAAGAAUCCUGCCCUGCCCAAAUUGUAACAAGAACCAUGGGAGAUGCUGUAAUAAUGGAAGAGUGGAAGUGAAGGUUGUUACACAGUAGCCAGAAGGGCA